rnacentral:misc_RNA from 1 species
UACUGUGUAUCACCGGAAGCUCGUCUGCUGUUCUUUCUACGAGUACCAGCUGGAUCGUAAAGCUGUUUACAGAAACGGCGAGUCGAGUGUAACCUUAUGUUACGUUUCAGCGGUCGGUUGGCAGAAACACGAGUGAUAUCUUCAAGUCGACAUUUAUAAAAUUGGAAACGGCUAGAAAUAGAAAACAACGUCACGUGUCCAAAUAAAAUGGAACGAAGCACAUUCCGCGGUUAAUUUUAGGCGUUCUUUGUGCAAAAAUCGUAGUCGCACUACCAUCUCACGGUGUCUUGCAACAGACUGAUAGGGAAGGCCGGAAAGAAGAUGGUGAAACGAGAGAGAGAGAGAGAGGCAAAGAAAGAAGGCAGCGAGACCGCAACUUCACAAAAGCGAGAUUCAUAUUCCGCUCGGAGAAACAGCGGCAUUCGGAGCAGAAAAUAAAAUCUACGGGGGUCGUCCCGUCCACGGAAACGGACGCUGCAUUCACGGGAACGUUCCUCGUUUUCGUCUCAUAACUUCCUCCUUCCUGAACUCCUAACCGACUCUUUCCACCGGCCGUGUCACAUCGCUGACCCUUCCUGCACUUAGCCGUUCUAAACCAACCGGCAAACUUCGUGAUAUGCAUUUGAAAUGCCGCCACUGAGAUAUGAAAUUUUCCUUCAACUAGCUGCAAUCAGAUUUUCUUCUCGCAAUAAUCGCUAAGGACAGCUACAUACUGAAUGUUCUACGAUGAUGUUGCGAGAGAACAGUGCUCUGCCUUUCACAAAAGUUAUUUAAACAUCGUUUAUAAUACGAGACACCUGAUAUUAUCAUCUUGAUUUAUAUCAAUAUGAAACCAUACGAUAUAAUAUCAGGUGUCUCGUUUCUAUAUUUUAAGUCACUUCGAUUUGGUUAGGACGCGAACCGAUCGUGAGAGCCAAAGACGAUAUUUUCCAGUCACGCUAUUCUCGGCGUUAAUCCAAUGAAAGCUUGGUCGAUAUUUUAAGGAUAACGAAUAAUUCUCUGUCAGGCUGUGAGAGAACACGGCAACGAAACAGAGACAU